AUUGAACGCUGGCGGCAUGCCUUACACAUGCAAGUCGAACGGCAGCAUGAUCUAGCUUGCUAGAUUGAUGGCGAGUGGCGAACGGGUGAGUAAUACAUCUGAACGUGCCCUGUAGUUGGGGAUAACUAGUCGAAAGAUUAGCUAAUACCGCAUACGACCUGAGGGUGAAAGUGGGGGACCGCAAGGCCUCAUGCUAUAGGAUCGGCCGAUGUCUGAUUAGCUAGUUGGUGAGGUAAAGGCUCACCAAGGCGACGAUCAGUAGCUGGUCUGAGAGGACGAUCAGCCACACUGGGACUGAGACACGGCCCAGACUCCUACGGGAGGCAGCAGUGGGGAAUUUUGGACAAUGGGCGAAAGCCUGAUCCAGCAAUGCCGCGUGUGUGAAGAAGGCCUUCGGGUUGUAAAGCACUUUUGUCCGGAAAGAAAUGGCUCUGGUUAAUACAUGGGGUCGAUGACGGUACCGGAAGAAUAAGGACCGGCUAACUACGUG
rnacentral:rRNA from 1 species